rnacentral:rRNA from 1 species
CAUGCAAGUCGAACGCAGUAGCAAUACUGAGUGGCAAACGGGUGAGUAUAAUGUGGGAAUCUGCCUUUUGGUUUGGAAUAACACGGGGAAACUUGUGCUAAUACCGAAUAAGCCCUUACGGGGAAAGUUUUAAUGCCGAAAGAUGAGCCUGCACUUGAUUAGCUAGUUGGUAAGGUAAAAGCUUACCAAGGCUACGAUCAAUAGCUGUUCUUAGAGGAAGACCAGCCACAUUGGGACUGAGACACGGCCCAGACUCCUACGGGAGGCAGCAGUGGGGAAUCUUGCACAAUGGGGGAAACCCUGAUGCAGCGAUGCCGCGUGAGUGAAGAAGGCCUUUGGGUUGUAAAACUCUUUCGUCGGGGAAGAAAAUGACUGUACCCGAAUAAGAAGGUCCGGCUAACUUCGUGCCAGCAGCCGCGGUAAUACGAAGGGACCUAGCGUAGUUCGGAAUUACUGGGCUUAAAGAGCUCGUAGGUGGUUAAAAAAGUUGAUGGUGAAAUCCCAAGGCUCAACCUUGGAACUGCCAUCAAAACUUUUUAGCUAGAGUGUGAUAGAGGUAAGUGGAAUUUCUAGUGUAGAGGUGAAAUUCGUAGAUAUUAGAAAGAACACCAAAUGCGAAGGCAACUUACUGGGUCACUACUGACACUGAGGAGCGAAAGCAUGGGUAGCGAAGAGGAUUAGAUACCCUCGUAGUCCAUGCCGUAAACGAUGUGUGCUAGACGUUGGAAAUAUAUUUUUCAGUGUCGCAGCGAAAGCAUUAAGCACACCGCCUGGGGAGUACGACCGCAAGGUUAAAACUCAAAU